GGAGUGGUCAAUUCCAUCUUGACUCACGCACUGACUUCACAAAUAUUUGAUUGUGCCUAGAAAUCUUCCGAUCCUGAAUUAGAAAUUUAGAUAGUCCGGCACCAAAGCAUAGUGAGUUGCUUGCAAGUCAUUGUGGUGAUCUCAGGUCGGAAAGACACUUAUACCCAUAUCCUUUCAGAGUGAUUCUUAAUAGCAAAGUACUUCGAAAUUGAUCACAUUCAGUGACAUAUACUCCUAUAUUUUAUCUGCAUGUCAUACCAGCAUCUCCACGCUCCUUGGUUAAGAGGCCAACC
rnacentral:lncRNA from 1 species